UCCAGUCAGAUGAACUGAAAUGCUUUUAUGUG
rnacentral:piRNA from 1 species